rnacentral:rRNA from 1 species
CGGGUGAGUAACACGCGCGUAAUCUGCCCUGCCUCUGGGACAAGCCCUGGAAACGGGGUCUAAUACCGGAUACUGACCCGCUUGGUCAUCCAAGCGGAUCGAAAGCUCCGGCGGUGCAGGAUGAGCCCGUGGCCUCUCAGCUUGUUGGUGAGGUAAUGGCUCACCAAGGCGACGACGGGUAGCCGGUCUGAGAGGGCGACCGGCCAUACUGGGACUGAGACACGAUCAAUAAAAUUAUUAGGGAGGCAGCAGUGGGGAAUAUUGCACAAUGGGCGAAAGCCUGAUGCAGCGACGCCGCGUGAGGGAUGACGGCCUUCGGGUUGUAAACCUCUUUCAGCAGGGAAGAAGCGAAAGUGACGGUACCUGCAGAAGAAGCGCCGGCUAACUACGUGCCAGCAGCCGCGGUAAUACGUAGGGCGCGAGCGUUGUCCGGAAUUAUUGGGCGUAAAGAGCUCGUAGGCGGCUUGUCACGUCGGUUGUGAAAGCCCGGGGCUUAACCCCGGGUCUGCAGUCGAUACGGGCAGGCUAGAGUUCGGUAGGGGAGAUCGGAAUUCCUGGUGUAGCGGUGAAAUGCGCAGAUAUCAGGAGGAACACCGGUGGCGAAGGCGGAUCUCUGGGCCGAUACUGACGCUGAGGAGCGAAAGCGUGGGGAGCGAACAGGAUUAGAUACCCUGGUAGUCCACGCCGUAAACGGUGGGCACUAGGUGUGGCGACAUUCCACGUCGUCCGUGCCGCAGCUAACGCAUUAAGUGCCCCGCCUGGGGAGUACGGCCGCAAGGAUAAAACUUCAAAGGAAUUGACGGGGGCCCGCA